AACGCACCUUGCGCUCCUUGGUAUUCCGAGGAGCAUGCCUGUUUGAGUGUCAUGGUAUUCUCAAUCCAUUCAAUACUGUCAAAGGUAUUGGAUUGGUAUUGGAUGUGGAGGAUUAUUGCUGGUCUCUUUAUUGAGUAUCAGCUCCUCUGAAAUGCAUUAGUGUGAAUGUUUACCGAGCAUUUUCUCAGUGUGAUAAUUAUCUACGCCUCAUGACCGAUGCUCUUGUUCUGCUUCUAACCGUCCAUUACUUGGACAGCUCUUUUGACAAUUUGACCUCAAAUCAGGUAGGACUACCCGCUGAACUUAA
rnacentral:rRNA from 1 species